UACGUAGGGCGCCAGCAUUGUCCGGAAUUAUUGGGCGUAAAGGGCUCGUAGGCGGUUUGUCGCGUCGGGAGUGAAAUCAUCUGGCUUAACUGGGUGCUUGCUUUCGAUACGGGCAGACUAGAGGUAUGCAGGGGAGAACGGAAUUCCUGGUGUAGCGGUGAAAUGCGCAGAUAUCGUCAAGAACACCGAUAGCGAAGGCAGCUUACUGGGCUGUAACUGACGCUGAGGCACGAAAGUGUGGGGAUCAAACAGG
rnacentral:rRNA from 1 species